GAUGAACGCUGACAGCAUGCUUAACACAUGCAAGUCAACCUGAACUUCGGUUUGGGUGGCGGACGGGUGAGUAACGCGGAAAGAACUUGCCCCACAGUUAGGGACAACAUUUGGAAACGAAUGCUAAUACCUGAUAUUAUGAUUUUAGGGCAUCUUAGUAUUAUGAAAGCUAUAUGCGCUGUGAGAGGGCUUUGCGUCCCAUUAGCUAGUUGGAGAGGUAACGGCUCACCAAGGCGAUGAUGGGUAGCCGGCCUGAAAGGGAGAACGGCCACAAGGGGACUGAGGCACGGCCCUUACUCCUUCGUGCGGCAGCAGUGGGGAAUAUUUGACACUGGACCAAGAGUCUGAUCCAGCACUUCUGUGUGCACGAUGAUGUUUUUCGGAAUGUAAAGUGCUUUCAGUUGGGAAGAACAAAAUGACGGUACCAACAGAAGAAGUGACGGCUAAAUACGUG
rnacentral:rRNA from 1 species